UCUGAGCGGAGCUGGGCAAAACAUUUGAAACUCACAUAUCAACCCCACCCCUUCUCUCCAAUGCCAGACCCCUGUAUGUAUUUUUAGCAGUGAUGUUCACUGUCAACUAAUCUAACGCAAAGAACAGAAAAGAACACGCUCCAGCAAAGAAGAAGAUAACUGGCGUUAUUGCCGUUGAGCGUUUAGUCAUCCACGGAAAGCAGCAAGUGAAAUGAAUAUUGAAAAUAAUCUACUGCUUUGUGCCUUGGUGAUCUUUACCCGUUCAUCGGAGACAAAGGGUCAGAGCACUUCUUUGGCCCCUGUCACCCCAGGCGCCUUCCAGCAUGAGGGCGUGUCCACUGCAUCCCCAGUCUUCCUAUUGGUCAAUGAAGAUGAGGAGGAGCCAGAGCCAAGUCCUGCCAAACAGACCUCUCCAGACCAAGCGAAUGGAGCCUCAACUGAACCAGCUUUUAUUGACGGCGACAGGCUGCUUCAGUCAGAGUCUGUUACAGAUGCUGGUGACUGGGAUUACAUGGCUCUGACCAAUCAGAUGUCCACGUCUCUGCCUGCACCUGCACACACAGUCAACACCGUUACCGUCACCCAAGACAACGCCACUCUCGCAGACAGCUCCUCCUCAACGUCCCCUGUAAAGAGCACCUCCCCUGCAGGACUGCUCUCCACCCUAGGGGACACAACAUACCCUGUCCCUGCUGGAGGCCACCUCACCACCUCUACACCUCCUGUUUUAGACACCACCCCACCUCCAUCCCAUGUUUUAACACCGAUCCAGUCCUCUGUCCAACCCAGCACCCCAGCACUGACCCCUGCUCCAACCCAAACCCUCACCACGGAGCACACCAAGACCUCCGCCCCAGUACAUGUCCCUGCCAGCCCGCCUCACCAGGAGGUUCCAUCAGAGCUUACCAUUGGAGAUGAGGACAAAGGGCCACACCUCCACUCUCCUCUGGACCCUUUGCUGGCUAGCCUGGUCUCUAUCUUUAUCAUCACCACAGCCAUUGUCUCUGUUGUGCUCUUCCUCAAAUUCCGCCAACGGACCGAUCACCCUGACUUCCACCGGCUGCAGGAUCUACCCAUGGAUGACUUGAUGGAAGGCACACCACUUUCCAGAUACACUUACACCUACUGAUGACGGAACCCUCUCAUCAUCAACAGUCAACUUUACUUCUAGCUACACAGCAGACACCCAAUCUGCCACCGUUUUGGAUCCUGGCAAAGCUUUUGACUGGACUGGAGGCCCUCGGCCAGCGACCAUGUUGUCUCACUAUGAUUCCCCCUGCUGAGCAGUUUCCAAUUUGAUUGUAUUAUGUUAUCAAUUAGAAGGCAUUCAAUACCCAAUCAGGGGUUGCAGUAUUAGGACAUCAGAGGUUCCGUUUCGACAUUAGGCCAACACCAUCAUUAUUCCCUUUGAAGCUUUCAGACGUUUCAUCUGCACAGAGGUCUGUUUUGUUUUUUGUAAUGUACCCCCCCCCCCCUCCUUAUACAGGUCAUACACAGCACAGACCACUUUAUUGUGUUAUAGAAACAGUCACAGUGCCCUCUAGGGGAUAUGAGUGGAAGUGGAGUCCCCAAAUUAGUUGGUAAUGUAUGAAGAAAACACAAUGCCACAUUUGAUGAUGUUGCCAAGGACCAUGAUAGAGGGAAAAUAGACAGGGAGUGAAAGAUGCUUACUGUAGAGGGACCUUAGGUGAUUUAAAUGUUCACCAGUCUCCAUGUUAUGGGACAAUUCUAAUCCAUGAACUGGCCAAAAAAAAUAAAAAAUGUAUCUUGGCAAGUCAGUUAAGAACAAAUUCUUAUUUACAAUGACGGCCUAGGGUUAACUGCCUUGUUCAGGGGCAGACCGACAGAUUUUUACCUUGUCAGAAAAGGGAUUAGCUCUAGCAACCUUUCGGUUACUGGCCCAACGCUCUAACCACUAGGCUACCUGCCGCCCCAUGAGUGAAGUAUUCUUUCAAACCA
ensembl:lncRNA